rnacentral:rRNA from 1 species
CAGUAGGGAAUCUUCCACAAUGGGCGCAAGCCUGAUGGAGCAACGCCGCGUGAGUGAAGAAGGUUUUCGGAUCGUAAAGCUCUGUUGUAAGAGAAGAACGUGUGUGAGAGUGGAAAGUUCACACAGUGACGGUAACUUACCAGAAAGGGACGGCUAACUACGUGCCAG